ncrna:unclassified sequences pemK RNA
AUAAUGAUACUUCUGUCCAGCCACAGCUCACACAAUGGGGACAGCUCGGUGAGAACCACGGAGAGGUUAGAUUCCUAUGG